ACACAGUUUCUAAACAGGAGUUCAGAUCUUCCUGUCUUAGCCACAGAGUCUGCAAGGGUGAACCCACUGGGGCUGGUUCUGGGAGUAGAGGAAAGUUCCAGAGAGAAGUGUCUCUGGGUU
rnacentral:snoRNA from 1 species